GUCAGCUCGUGUCGUGAGAUGUUGGGUUAAGUCCCGCAACGAGCGCAACCCCUAUUGUUAGUUGCCAUCAUUCAGUUGGGCACUCUAGCGAGACUGCCGGUAAUAAACCGGAGGAAGGUGGGGAUGACGUCAAAUCAUCAUGCCCCUUAUGACCUGGGCUACACACGUGCUACAAUGGUUGGUACAACGAGUUGCGAGUCGGUGACGGCGAGCUAAUCUCUUAAAGCCAAUCUCAGUUCGGAUUGUAGGCUGCAACUCGCCUACAUGAAGUCGGAAUCGCUAGUAAUCGCGGAUCAGCACGCCGCGGUGAAUACGUUCCCGGGCCUU
rnacentral:rRNA from 1 species